ensembl:lncRNA
GGUACACAGUAAAUUUACCAGUGUCAAAAAGGCAGUGUCAAACUAUUUUAAUUCUUCCGGAGUUUUUCCAACAAUGGACAGAGUAAAAUUGAACCAGAAAACUUCCAGUGUUGGUGAAAAUAAUCGGAGUUAACAGAGGUUUUACUCUGUCAGUGUUAUUGACUCUCUCAGGCCCUGAUUCAACACUGAUUAGAGCAAGAUACCUUCCAGAGUAUCACAAAAAAUACUCUGGAAAGCCCCGCCCACCAACUUUCCCGGUCAAACUGAGAAUGUGGAUUCUGGCAUCGCCAUCUUCCUCGCAUCGAAAUACUGUGAUACCAUCAUGUUGAUCAAAACAUUCCUGUCAUCCAGCACCAACCAAGAUCUUUGCCACUGUGAUAAGAUGUGAGCUUUACAUGUUUUAGGUUUACUUUUGAUGCCAAUAUUUCAUGUUUACUUGGAAUAAAUAUGUAUUACAGUAUGGAUACAAUUGUCUGUGUGUUUUUCCCCCUGCAUAGAUAUGCAACACUGGUAGGAGUUGGUUAAAAAUCAACACUCUUUGGAGUGAUUUCAUAAUCAACAUAGUGUAAAGUAGGUUUAACACU